rnacentral:lncRNA from 1 species
ACUGUUUAUGAAACUUACUAUAAUGUUUAUAAAACUUAACGGUACAACACUGUUUAUGAAACUUAACGAUAGAUGCUCGUCCCAGAUUUUCAAGUUCUUUCACCAAACUGCAAUAAAAAGGAUUAAAAAAUAUGAUAGAGAUUAACGUCCACGUCGUUAAAGUCAUGCAAGGCUAAUAGCUUAAUACCAUUACUAGAAAAAUGGGUGAUUAGUCUAACGAUGUUGUCAGUGAUGUUGCCCCACCUCUACCCCCAACCAUCUCAGCCCACACCUAACCGACUCCCUCCCAACCAUACCCCCUCAAAUGUGGUUCUGAAUCGAACGAAACCCACUUCAAUUUGAAAUUCUAAUUUUAGAGGAAUAAAAUAUGCUUGGAUUAUGUCAAAGGGUUAUGCAACUGAAGGAUUGGUUGGGUGCUCUUUGCAUGCGCCUUUAGUAAGGUUUUUUUUGUUUUUAGUUUUCUUUCUUUUGUCUUUAUCAUUAAAUAAAGUUAUAUGAUUUUUUUUAUAUUAAAAUUCAAAGUUUUGAAGCCAUUUUCAUUAGUUUUCCUAAAAAAAUUUUAGCCAAAUAGUCUUUGAUAUUGUCAAAACUCUUCAUUUUGAUCCCUGUCUUUGAAAAUUAAUAGAAGUGGUCCUUGAGUUUGCCCACCGUCAAUCAUUUCGGUUCUUUUGUGAAAAAUCUUCGUUAAAUGGAAAAGCAAGUGGAAUGAUUGAUUGGACAAAAUACCCUUAAUUUAACCGAGAUUUUUUACAAAAUGACUAAAAUGAUUAACCGUUGACAAGCUUAUGGACCACUUCUAUCGAUUUUAAUAUCAAGAAACAAACUAAAGAGUGAUGCCAAUUUCUGUGACUAUUUUGGCUAAAAAUGCUAAAAUAUAAACUUGUUUAUACCAUACUUAGGGCAUCCAUAUUUAUAUCUCGUAUAAAUACUUUGGGGACUCAAAUGUAAUUAUGUAAUAAAUGGAAUGGCAAAUAUGUAAUAAGUGAUGAGCCCUUAUUCUAUAAAAAGGCCUCCUCACCCUUACAAACCUCAAUCCCUCUCAUCCUCUCAAAACUCUCACUCUCAUAUUCAGAGCUCUCUCUCCUUCAGAAAUACAAUAUCAAUGUGGACGUAGCCCAAACCUUGGGGUGAAUCACGAUACAUCUUGUGUUAUUUACAUUUCUUACAGAUUCACGGUCGGAUUUACGUUGUUCCAAGACCUCCGGUUUUGUGCAUCAACAUUUGACGCCGUCUGUGGGAAACGAUACAAAAAGUUGUGUCGGUUCUCUUUCAUUUUUUUUUUCACCUCUGCCUUGAAUCUGCAAAAUCACAAAAAGCCCAGUCCUUUUGAGAAAACGACAAGCACCAGGAGAAAGAAUAUCUGAGUGAGAAACCCAAAUAACAGAUAAGCGAGUAGAGAAGCACCAUCGCCACCAUGUGUU